GGGAGGAACAGCAGUGCCACCUGUCCCACCAGCCUACCUCUUGGACCUUGGGGCAGAACUGCAGCCAGAACUGGAAAUCAGAUUUCUGCUUCACCUGCAAAAGAACUGGAAUUCCCGUCAAGGCUCAGUGGAAACAAACCCAGCUAGUAUCCAUGGGGAGGCGGGUUCGAUCCCUGGCCUCGCUCAGUGUGUUAAGGAUCCAGCAAUGCCCUGAGCUGUGGUGUAGGUCGCAGAUGCAGCUCAGAUCUCGAGUGGCUGUGGCUGUAGCAUAGGCCGGCGGCUAUAGCUCCGAUUUGGGCUCCUAGCCUGGAAACCCCCAUAUGCCACAGGAAAAGCUCACAACAAGUCCUGCCUUCUCGGAAUAAAAGUCAGAACUUGAAUUCCCAGCCUUCCCUGAAGGAAGGAGAAAGUCUUGACCCUUCAAAUGCUCCCAAGCAAGACCUGAAUUUGGAAGUAAAUAACCUAAGAGGGGGGGGUUGGAGGAAGGAAGAGGGAAGAGGAGGGGAGCGGUCUGCUAGUACCUCCCCACUUCCUUAAAAGUGUUUUCGUCCAUGGCAGAGACAUCCGGCUUUCAGUGGUGGCAGCUGUUUCCCAGACAUUGCAAGGUCAAUGGGACAGGAAGUUUCAUUAGUGCAAGCAGAGGUGGCAUGUGCGACCAAGCAGGUAUGGGGCACUGGGUGCCUCGUGCAGAGGCCACCGCUCUCUAUUCCUGGAGUCUGAGGCUGGGCUUUGGGAAUGCUCUUGGAAGUUCAGUUCCAGCUCUUCCUCCCACCUGUCGGAGGAAGAGAAAGCCUAGAAGCUCACCAGACCCAUUUUCUCUCCAUCCUUGGGUACCCACAGAGCUGGACUGCCUUUCCCAGCCUUCCUUGCUUUUGUGUGUGGCCACAUGACUGCUGCCUUCUGACUAAUGGAACAUGGACAGAAGUGAUGCACUUCCAUGCCUGGUCCCUAAAACCCCCAGAGCCAUUCUCUGUGCUCUUACCUCCCAGAAGGAAGUAGAAAAUCCAUCCCAUGGAAGACACAAGGUCCCUAGACAAUGGUGGAGCCACUAGAAAAAAGCAGCUUGAGCCCUUGAAUCUCUGCUGAUAGGACUGUGUCUCCAAAUAAGCCUCUUUUUGUAUUAAGCCACUUUGAUUUGGGUGCUGUGAUAAGGUUAGCCGGUCCUGACUAAUACACAUAAUGAAUCCAUUUUCUGCUGAACUAGUCAAGGUAGGUUUUAUUUUUUAUGACCAAGGGCUCUGAGUGUUUCACUUCCCAACCUGAUCUGCCCUCAGGUGGUCUGAUCUGAGAGGAGGUCUGAUCAGACCAGGAGGCACUGUGUCACCUCUCCUCCUGGCAGUCCCCACCCUUCCUCAGGCCCAGGCCACAUAAGUCCCUCUAAGAAAGUCAGCUUCUUCUCCUCUACAAUCUUAGUGGGGCCUGUGACUUCUCGCCUAACUUCUGCUUGAUGCUGAAGAAAGGCAGGCAUGUUUUUCCUGGUACCCCUGAAAUCUGUAUAAGGACUCCUGCCCCUCCUCUUCUUUAUUAUAAGGUGAUCUGGUCGAAAUCAUGCUUUGAUUUAGCACAGAAGACAACCUUUUGCAUAUCUGGUCCCCCCCACCCCUUCAUUCUCCCCUAUCCACAGGGGUGGGCUUGUGGCAGCCAUGUUUGUAUCACGUGACUGACUCCUUGAAGUUGAUUGGACCAGGAUCUGGCACGUGACCCAAGCUGAGCCAAUCUGAGACUUUGUGUCCGAAACGAGGCCCUGCAGCUCACUCCGGCUGCCCUGAGCCCAUCUGUUGAAUGGGACCGUCCGUCUCCUGUGGCAGGUGGACUGUGAAACAGGCCUAGAGGAAGCCAGUGGGCUAACAAAAUCAAAGCAGCAAAAAUAAAGAGAAGGUGAGUGAAGGAGAAAGUGGGAACUGAGCUUGGCGCAUCCUAGGUUGUGGGUCCACAAGCAAACACUCAGUAAAAUAAAUUUUCUCUAGUUUGCUAGUUCAAGGUCUUUUUGAAAACUCUGAAGCCAAAGAGUUGCAACUGAUACAGAAAGAAAUAGAAAAGGUCACCCCAGAUUCCACCCCGUGGAAACCGAGGCACCUCCUGGCUUGUCAUGAACUGGGAAACCGAAAAAUACUCUGAGCUGGGGAAAAUGUGGCAGCUGCAUAGAUCUCUCGGGAUUUAUCUUUGGUACUCGAGUGAUUUUCCAGCCCAACAACCUCACGUGAGAGCUGAGCAAAGGCAGGGAACCCAGAGAGCUGGCGUGACUCACCCAGGCUCCCUCCCACAGGCAGCGAGGGUUGGGGCUAGAGUCCUGGUCCCUGAACCUGAAAAGCAUCCCUUUCCUACUUUGGGCCCGCGGUGGGCGCUGGGGCCAGGCGGGAGCCAUCAGGAUAAAUCAGCACGUGUUGCUAGGCUGGCGACAAAUGACGCGUCUAAUUCCCUGGCCCAGCCAGCCCCGCGCGGCGGAGUAGCGCGCUCCGUGCGCACACGUGUGCACUCGGCCGGCGCGGGAGCAGCUGCAGAGGUUGGGCCUCCCGGGAGAGGACGGGGUGGGCGUGAGUGUUGAGGGGGGGCGCCAUGCCACCCCACCCCUGCGCGGCAGGGAGGGCCCCGCCAGCCGGGCCUUUCAGAGUUAAUUAGCCUUCAUGCAUAUGGAUGGCACUGCCGAUUGAACACGGUGGAGGGGUCGUGACCUGACCCCGGCGAGGCGUGCGGAAAGAAAAGACUGCUUUUCCCAGCUCGGUCCCUAAUUGAAAGCCCAGUUGCCGGGCGCUGCGCCGGGGUGUGAUCGCCGCCGCCCCAUUUCUCCCGCAGAAGGAACACUUCGGGGGGAGCUGCCCCCGGCGCCCGGCCCCCUUUAGCAGCCCCUCUAAUGACCUGCGGGGAUGUGCAGGCGGCCCGACGACCGUCCCCCUGAUAUGUCGCCGUAAUGAUAUCUGCACUGGGGAUUUAUUCCGAAGCUGUCCUUUUCCGUGAUGGUUUUCAUUUCCUGUCAUUUAAAGCUGGAAGCAUUUAUGGAAUAUCACAUGGUUUUCGUUUACACAGGAAAUCAGCUGCAGUUGCGAGAAGAUGCGGACUUACUUUUUUGUUUGUUUUUUUAAUCCUUCCUCC
rnacentral:lncRNA from 1 species